rnacentral:lncRNA from 1 species
AAACCCAUCAUCAUUCUCCACCUCCCUCUUACUCCUAUCAGCAACCACCAAAAUAGGCUCUUCCUUACACCACCUAUUAUUAGCCUUCCAUGGCAAAACUCUCGCAUCCAAAAACGACACAACAACGCCUUUCCCUAAAUUAACCACCGGUCCCCAAGCCGGUAACACCACCCAUUUCUCCCACCCUUUCUCCGCCACCACAAUACCAAACUCCCCUUCCUUUCUUAUCUCAGAAGGUGCUUCCAUAAUCACCCUUUCUCCUUCCUCAGCUUUACACACGGGCAAAACAACCACCGAGGUCGCCUCAGCUACUUCACCAAUCUUCAAUCUCACCACAUUAACAGGUACUUUUAAUACAACAUCUUCAACCUUCUCCUCUUCAGCCUUUCCAUUCAAC